rnacentral:rRNA from 1 species
AUUGAACGCUGGCGGCAGGCCUAACACAUGCAAGUCGAACGAGUGGCGGACGGGUGUGUAAUGUCUGGGAAACUGCCUGAUGGAGGGGGAUAACUACUGGAAACGGUAGCUAAUACCGCAUACCAUCGGAUGUGCCCUGAUGGGAUUAGCUAGUAGGUGGGGUAAAGGGUCACCUAGGCGACGAUCCCUAGCUGGGCUGAGAGGAUGACAAGCCAAACUGGAACAGUGACACGGUCCAGAGGCCUACGGGAGGCAGCGGGGGGGAAUAUUGCACAAUGGGCGCAAGCCUGAUGCCGCCAUGCCGCGUGUGUGAAGAAGGCCGUCGGGUUGUAAGGCACUAUCAGCGAGGAGGCGUUACUCGCAGAAGAAGCACCGGCUAACUCCGUGCCAGCCGCCGCGGUAAUUC